rnacentral:rRNA from 1 species
ACGGAGGGUGCAAGCGUUAUCCGGAUUCACUGGGUUUAAAGGGUGCGUAGGCGGGCAGGUAAGUCAGUGGUGAAAUCUCCGAGCUUAACUCGGAAACUGCCGUUGAUACUAUUUGUCUUGAAUAUUGUGGAGGUAAGCGGAAUAUGUCAUGUAGCGGUGAAAUGCUUAGAUAUGACAUAGAACACCAAUUGCGAAGGCAGCUUACUACACAAUGAUUGACGCUGAGGCACGAAAGCGUGGGGAUCAAACAG